CUACUUCCGGCUACCCCGGCUACUCCUGCUCAGCAUGGCUGCUUUAGGGACUGUUCUCUUCAGUGAGUGGGUGUCCGGAGGCUGCACUGCAGCGCAGCCGCUUGGGCGGGCGGCCAGUGGCGACUACAGUGAGUGCUGGGAUGAGGGCACCUGGGGGACCAGAAGCUGGGCUAGGUCCUCACAGAUCUGUUUUUCUCCACACAGGCAGGGACUGGCUGCCAACCCCUCCGGCUACGGGCCCCUUACCGAGCUCCCAGACUGGUCAUAUGCGGGUAAGCGCUGAUCUGGCAGUUAACUCCACUGGGGAGAUUUUCACCCAGAGGGAACGCCCCUGGACGGGGAGCUGGGGGUAUCAAGGUGGGGGCGUGUAAAAGUGUUUAACUUUUUAUUUGGAAAACGGAAUUUGGGGAAAGAAACCCUCUUGUUUAUUUUGUAGUUUGCAUUUCGACUAAGGAAGGUAAAGCUAAACAGGAUCUUGGCUUGUGGAGAUAAGCAGAAGAUAAUUCUGACUUGGGGCCGCCAGGGUGGAAGGGGGUGACAAGACUUCUGCGUUUUUCAAAGGGAGACUUUUUUUUUUAACCAAGAACCACUUUUCUCUGUGGUUAGUGAAUUUUCAGUAUUUGGUACCAAAUGCAGGGAGAGCUCUUUGAAAAGCUGCAGAAAUAAGCGUCUCAGAGGGGUAGAAGGAUGAAGACUAUGGAUGGCAGGCUCCCUUCAGAAAAUUCUUUUACCUUUACUUACAAAGGAGAGAGGGAGGGAGAAUAAAUAUUAGCCCUAGAAGGGAGAACCUUAGAGAAGUUGAAGCUACUCCCCAUUCUCCUUAUGAGACUCCAGUGUACAAGUAGGAAAUUUGAGGCCUACAGAAGUGAAUUGCACAUGAUCAUACAGCUAGGUAGUAGCAAAGCCAGGACUAGAACAUGGGCCAGUCCUCCUUGACAACACAGAGAUCUGAAUAUUUAAUACCCUAUUGUUGCUCUCUAGGGGUAUGAUCCUGCUUAAUUGGAUAAUUGGUGACUGAGGAAGAUGGUGAAGAUUUUUUCUACUUGUUAUUUACUGUAAGAAGCCUGGCAUCUCCUUGUAGUAGUAUGGACUAUUGGAAAGACUCUGGAAUUACAUAUGACUGCUGCUUUUUUUUUUUUUUUUUUUUUUGAGAUGGGGUCUUACCCUGUCACCCAGGCUGAAGUGCAGUGGCAUGAUCAUCGCUCACUGCAGCCUUGAUCUCCUGGGCUCAAGCAGUCCUCCCACCUCAGCCCCCCAAGUAGGUGGGACCACAGGCACACACCACCAUUCCUGGCUAAUUUUUUUUUUUAACUUUUAGUAGAGACAGGCUCUUGCUAUGUUGCCCAAGCUGGUCUUGAACUCCUUAGCUCAAGUGAUCCACUUCAGCCUCCCAAAGUGCUGGGAUUACAGGCAUGAGCCACCACGCCCAGCCUAUGGACUUUAUUCUUAAUCCAGGCUUCCCUUCUCGCUAAGUUUGUGGUCUUGGACAAGUUACUUAAUUUUAUCUUAGUCUCAGUUUCUAUAUCUGUAAAAGAAUACCUAUCUCAUGUGGUUCUUUUAAGGAUAAAAUGAAACAAUCAAUGUAAAGCAUGUGGCAUACACAAUAUUGGUUCCCCUUCCUGGUAAAUAACACCUCUUCUCUGUCUUGCCUUCAAACUUUUGGGCAGAGUUUUCACUCUGUUUCUUUCUUUGCGGAAAGUAAACUACUUGGGUCAGAUACUGCAUCUUUUCAGCAAGUCAGCAGAUAUUUAUGGAUUUUUAUUAACAUGCUUAUGUGUCUACACUAUACUGUGAAUAGCAAAAGCUAGCGACACAGUCCCUGACCCAAAGAACUUAAAGUCUAACUGGGACAAAGCAUGGAUGUUUUAAAAAUUAAGUAAUAGUAUUCAGGGCCAUGCACCUACAGUUCCAGCUACUCGGGAGGCUGAGGCAGGAGAAUCGCUUAAGCCCAGGAGGCAGAGGUUGUAAUAAUCUGAGAUCAUGCCAUUGCACUCCAGCCUGGGCGACGGAGCGAGACCUUGUCUCAAAAAUAAUAAUAAAUAAUAUUUCAAUACUCUGCGCCUUUCCAAAAGGACCUGAGGUAGCUAAAUAACACUU
rnacentral:sRNA from 1 species